CAUGGUCUGACCGCCCGUUCCAGACCCCAGUCCAACAGCCGCCCAGCUCCGAUCCAAACCUCCAGUCCACUCUGUACCAGCUCUCAGCUGCUCCAAGAACCUACCAAAAAGAAGAAAACAACAACAGACCUGAAGAGCAAAAGACAGUAAAUAUAAAAUUACCAGAAUUGUCCCUACUCAAGUUUAAGCUGGUGAGCCAGACAUUGACGAUUGGAUGCAGCUCUUGUCUAAGUGAAGAGAUUUAGGACAAUGUGAGAACAACUACCCCAUGGAAGAGCUCAAAUAUCAUUGUGGCAAAUGGCCAAGGUAGCACAGGAAAGUUGUGCCAGAUACUUCUUCUCUCUGCACUUGGAAAAAUCUCAGAAAUUGUGACUUUUAAAGGAUGACAAGAGCACUUAUCUGAAGAAACCAUUCAAAGCCAGCCCAAACAAGUGAGAAUUUACAGCGGUGUCGGCAAAUGUUAGGAACACAAUGUAGUGUUGUUAGAUCUUGAAGACAGAACUGCUCAGCUUAGCAUUUUAACUAUCUUCCUUAAAAUUAUGGAGUCAGUUCUUUCCAACAUGUUCU